AUGAGCCAUGGGCCGCUGCGCCCGUCUCGCCGCAUCCCCCCCCGCCCCCACCCGCACACACCCCGCCCCAUUUUCUCUUCCUGUCGUUCUUACUUUCCCCCUGUUUUUUUCAAAUCCUCUUCAUCUUUCUUUUUUGUUUUCAUUCAGGUUCUCUCCAUCCCUCAGUCUCUCUUACUUGCUCUGCUUCCCUUUGGUCACGCCGAAGCACCGGCAUCCAGGAUGCCCGGGUGGGUGGAGGGGGGGGCGAAGAGGCCAGGACCUCAGCGAAGCAGCCUUCCUGGGAGGAAAAAAGCGAGGGAAAGGGGACUUGUGUCUCCCUUCCACCCCUCCUCACUCUCACGUUCUGUCUGCACAGAUUUGAGCACUGGACGUCCCAAUGUAACUGAGACCCUGCCAGGAGGAGGUGGAACAGAUGUUGGCCCCAACAUCCAUCUGGGCCGUACCCCUGCUUUGCCUCCCACGGCUGACGCUCCACGCAGGACCCCCUCUCAGCAGGGGGGCUUCAGCGGUGACACAGCACAGACAUCGCGUCCCAACGGUGCUUUCGUUCACGGUGCAUGUGUGCGUGUCCGUUAUCACUGGACUUCUGGCUUCAACAGAGGUGUUUCCUUCUCCAUUCGUAACACUCCUCUUCAUGACUCUGGCGCACGCACACACACACACACACACACACACACACACACACACACACACUCUGGAGACAAAAACACAAGCAGCGGAAAUCCUUGGAUGUGAUGUAAGCUAGUGAGGAAAUGUUCCUGGUCCAAAUAAUCAUUUCCAGAUUUGUGAGAUAAUUAUUUCCAAAGAGUCUCUACUUGACGUGCAGCUCUUUGACGUUGUUAUUUAUUACGAAGGUGUGAGAGCCAAGUUGUGCACUCAGUGUUGUGUGUCAAGCGUUUGUGUGUCAAUUUUAGCAGCUGUGAAUAAAUAGCUGCAUUUUUAGUGGCCAAAGCAUAUUUGUGCGUUGGAGGCCAACAAGCAAAGUAAAGACGAAUAUGAAGAUUCAUGGAUAAUAUAAUAUAUUAAAAGCACAAACUCAGAGGAGCUCAUGUGCUGCUGAGGUCGGCAGAACCAAUCGAAUGAAGCUCUCGUGUGCCCGAUAAAGAUGUUCCAGAACACAGCGGCUACUUUGUAGUUUUGUGCUUUCAGAUUCCUCAGAGCUGACGUCCGCGGCGCUGAGCGCCGUGCGUGAUAUCUGCAGGUCUGUGGUCGAGCUGUCUGUCUAACCAGCAGCUCAAACCCAACAGAACCGUAGCGAGUUCCACCCCGGACCAGCAGCAACGCGCACGUUCAUUCAGGCAUUAUCGCUGCUCAUUAAUAUUCAGAUGGGCUUUAUUUUCAUGUGAGCCUUUCUUGUUGAGAGUUUUUUUUUUAUUUUGUUUUUUAUAAAUGUCAGAGACAGACCUUUUCAGUUUCGUUACAUCAAUAUUAAUAUAUGAGUAUAUAUCUGUAAAUAUAUUGGACAGCUGUCAGUGUUUUUUUCUUUCAAUUGUUCCAAUUUGGACGAGAGGCCUUAUUCAAUUCCAUUUAUGUUGUGUCACAAAUUGGUUUCACAGGGCUUUACAAUGUGAUCCCAUCCUCUGGCCCCCACGGGAACAACUCUGUCACUGAGGUCCUCCUUCAUCUUCAUCACUCAUCGUGAGAGGUUUCUCAUCAAAGAACAUUACAUGUCAUUUAGCUGCUGCUUUUAUCCAAAGCGACAAUAAGUGCAUUCAACCAUAGGGUACAAACUCAGAAGAAACAAGAAAGUGCAAUUUCCUCAAAUAAGCCAAUUUACAAUUUGCUAUAGAUGAGUGGCGUUACAAGUACCAUUUAAGUGCUACAAUUGGUUAGACUUUUAUUAGAACACACCAACCGUCGCUAUGUCACCAUGAGUCUCUUUCUGGAACAGGCCCAUAUCGGUGACUAUCGUAUAUAAAUCUGCCUUAGCAAACUUUACUCGAGUCAAAUCUCCAAACCCCAGCAGCUCACCCUGCUUGACAGGAAGUCCUUUUGUGUGCAGCAGAACUUCUUUUCCAGCUCUGAAAACGUGAAAACUAUGAAUUUAACAAUAGAGCAUAUUUUGUCCACAUGAAAUUGAUUAGCGAUGUAAGAACGAAAUGCUGGACUUGGAUUGAUUUAUUUUGAUCCCAGAUUUCAACAUUGCUGGAGGAAGUAUUCUGAGCCCAAGUAAAAGUCAUCUUAAGUUACAACAAAAUUCAAGGUUUGCACAGUUUGCACCUUAAAUCACAAAAUGCUUCCAGGAAACGAAUGCAAACUUUCAGCUCUGAGCUUUCAGGUCUAAAUCGCUCAUUCAAACUACUUAAUAAUCUAUCGGGUUGGUUUCCCGCGCGUGUUCGCCGAUUAAAGGACUUAAACUUUUGUCCUCAAAGUUGUGGAAACCACGCUGUGCAAUUCUACUCGGGGGCCUUUGUGGCCACCUAAACGCCUCUUGUUUUUCCCGGGUGUUUGAAUGCCUCGUCUGUUUGGUGACUUCCGUGGGAUUCCAGCGGGCUUGUCACUCAGGACUUGUUUGUCCUGGGGACGAGAUCUGUGUGAGUCCUGUUUGUCUUCCCCUCUGCUCGGCCCCUGAGUGCUGAUGGAGACCCCGCAUCCCAGGUGGCCCGCACAUCAAAACAAGAGGAUCGCGGCUCUUGGUUUUCAGACAAACAUCACACUUUCUUUGUUGUCUGAGGGACAGGGGGGCACGGCGGUUUAUCUCCAGAGGAUCUCCCCCCCGCUAUCGCCUUCCAGGCCCAGCGCCCCAUCCCACAGGAGCCGCUAAAAGCAAAUGUCAGUCAAGGAGAAGCUGCAUUCCUUUAGGAGGUCAGUUAGUAGUGGCUACUGGGACCAUCGGUUGCAUUUUUGAGAAUUUACAGGAUUUCCAGGUCGAUAACUGCCCUCUAUACCAAGGCACCUCCACGCAUGUGUCCCUGUCCUCCCAUCAUGGCGGCCCCCCACAGACCCGAUCAGUUAUCGGACGCUUCACAAAGCACCGUCUAUGAAACCUCUUGCUCCCUUGGGCCAUGUGAUGGGCGUCCAGCUCCGGCCAGUCGUCCCCUGCAGGCCUGUGAGGAGCGUGAGGUCCGGGGACCUUUAUGAGCUCAACCCCGACGCGCUCGUCUGGACUCAGUGCUCCGUUUACUAGAGUCCCGCUCAGAAGUUUCACUUCAUUUAACCAGUGAUUCUUUCCACUUUGAGGGCGGGUCGAGGCUUCCACUGUUCUCUCUGCGGACGCUGUAGGAUUUACUGUCGUCGCUGCACGAAGCGGGGAAUGACCAAGGGGGAGGACGCUGACAUGCGCUGCUCACUCUGUGAGCACAGCUGUGAGUACAGCACAUGGCCCGGGCGCCAGCUUUAAAGUUACAUCACCAUGAAAGUGGUCACCGGGAAUGUUUUCUGUGAGAUUAACUGAGGGAAAUCUUUUUUUUUUUUUUAUUACAAAAACACUUUGUUCUUUCUAUUCACAUUUUUUGUGGGACUGGACCAAAAUGAAACGACACGGGCGUUUCGCAAGUAGUCACAGGUGAUUAUUCAGUCGCUAAUACAUAGUAAAAACUUAAGCGUGUGCCCAUAAAGUCGGCCUUUUAUGCACUAUGGUCUGUUUUGGCACCGAGCCAAACGCCGUAGGUGGAUGAGCUCAUUCCAAUCCAAACAGUUUACGGGGAGAGCAACUCCAGUGACGACACUAUGUGGGCAGCUUGCAGCUCUCAAAAUACAAACGUUCCGUGUGAAAGUGGAAAGAGAAGAAAAAGUGAGUCUUUCACAGGAACAAUCUAGUAAACACGGCGCGCUGCACAGAGAGCGAACACCUGUGUUUUACCAAAGUUUGUUUGGCACGGAGCAGUUUCAUCACUGCCGGGAGCCAUAUUUGGUCCAGUGCAAAAUGUUACGUCUUCCAGCGAUGAGCAAACGCACCCUGACUCAAGCAGGAAGCUGCAGAGUGGGUCCCAAACAGGAGAAGGUGCACAGCGGGGGGCCGACAUGAUUCAGCCGGGCUACAUAGUGGGAAUAAGCUCCCUAACCCAAAGCCAGGAAUAGAGUUUACGGUGUUGAGAAUUAGGGUUAAAUGUCAGAAAGGUCACAUAAGAGACCAGUUUAGGCUUAGAGAGGUUAUCUGUAAGGACGUGGGUGAACAAUACUUUCCAACUGAAGGACGGCGGUCAGACGCCGUAAAAAGUUGGCUCCAACAUAUGCAAAGUAAAUAAAACAUCUUUCCGUAAGUUUUAUUAUUCAUAUUAUUGAUUUUUAUUUAAAGUUUAACAGAACUCAAAAUGGUUGCUUCAUCAGGGGCUGUGUGUGCAGGGAUGGAUCCGAUCAUCAUUGAUCAUCAUUGAAACUAAUACUAUCACAUUACAUGUCACACGUUUUUUCCAUUUAAAGGAACUGCGUGUGCGUGUGUGUGUGUGUGCGUGCGUGUGCGUGCGUGUGUGCGUGUUGAUACUGACAAACGUCUGUCUUCAAUCUUUGUAAACUUGGCUCAGGAAUGUAAUUUAUUUUAUUGAAAUUUUUGUUUUCUGUGAAAUAAAGAUGACUCAUGUCAUGAUGUAGGUGUUAAACAUUACUGUUGCUGCUCUCUAAAAAAUAUUUCGGUGAUAUUUAGUUAAACCAGUAGUAUUAUAAAUUUAAAAUAAAUUUAAAUUAUAAAAGUUAUCCUUUUUUGAAUGAAUUCGUUUUGAAAUUAUAUAAACGUGUUUUAGUCAUGAAAUUAUACUUCCAAUUUUUUGAGUUUAAACAAUUACCUCCUAAAAUGGAUAAGGUGGCGAUGGGUAUCUGGGAUUUUAAGGCCCCCGUAGUGUUCCUGAAAAACAAAGGUGUGAGCGGAGAGGAAUCCGAAACUCACCACUAGAUGUCACUAAAUCUUACGUACUGUGCCUUUAAAAUUUACAACGUUUAUCUUAAUCCAGUUUAAACAUCUUUGUCCCUUGGCGUACGCAGGCUCACUCUUUAACGUCUAACGUAAUGUGCUUUAAGACCUAAUCACCAUUACAAAAUCAAAACCGAUUUAAUAAAUCAGAAUAAUAAACAUUAUUUUCUGUUUGGUUCUGGCCAUAUAUUCGCUGUUUAGCUGGCACAUCGCAGUCCUCCCAAGGCCAAAAGAAGCUAUGUUUUUUACUUUUCCCUCCGUUAUGUUUUACAUGCGGGACUUUUACUUGUACUGGAAUCCUUUUAAUGUGAGCACAGCCACCUUUGCUCACGCAAAGCACGUCAUAUUUCCACAACAGCUGACUAACAAGCAAGAAUAAUUACAUUUUAGUCUAUAAAAACAAAUGAUUUAGUUUCAAAUUCUAAUCUAAUUGAUUCUUUAAACAGUCGUUAACAACCUGUUGGCCAGGUCAGCAACAAAAUUAAAUAAGAAACGGAAACUCAACAAAGAAUCAAACAAUUUUAAUUUAAAUUAAAUACUUCUGCAGUGUGUUUAUGUUCUUGAAAUUCUCCUCAGUCUGACUCGUGUUCCAGCCCAGCGUCCCCCCCCCCCCCCCCCCCCCCCCCC
ensembl:lncRNA